AUAAGUGCUGAAAGCAUCUAAGCACGAAACUUGCCCCGAGAUGAGUUCUCCCUGAGACUUUAGAUCUCCUGAAGGAACGUUGAAGACGACGACGUUGAUAGGCCGGGUGUGUAAGCGCAGCGAUGCGUUGAGCUAACCGGUACUAAUGAACCGUGAGGCUUAACCUUACAACGCCGAAG
rnacentral:rRNA from 1 species